GCCCCGCCCCCUGACAGGGCGCGACGCUCGUGGUCACGUGACGCCGCCAUCCGGGUCCUUUGCCUUCUCUGCCUCGUCCCAACAUGGCGGCCCCAGCGGCAGCGAAGAAGAAGCCAAAGAAGGGGAAGACGCUGACGCUCACGGAUUUCCUGGCGGAGGAUGGGGGGGGCGGGGGGGGCCCCACCUACAUCCCCAAACCUGUGAGCUGGGCCGACGAGACCGACGACCUGGAAGUCUCCACCACGUGGCACAGCAAUGACGACGACGUUUACCGGGCGCCUCCGAUCGACCGCUCCAUCCUUCCCACGGCCCCGCGCGCCGCCCGCGAGCCCAACAUCGACAGAAGCCGCCUCCCCAAGUCCCCCCCGUACACGGCAUUCCUGGGAAACCUGCCCUACGAUGUCACGGAAGAGUCCAUCAAGGAUUUCUUCCGAGGGCUCAAUAUCAGCGCCGUGCGGCUCCCGCGGGAACCCACCAAUCCCGAGAGGUUGAAAGGUUUCGGAUACGCGGAAUUUGAGGAUAUCGAUUCCCUGUUCCAGGCCCUGAGCCUCAAUGAAGAGUCUUUAGGAAACAGAAGGAUACGAGUGGAUGUGGCGGAUCAAGCUCAGGAUAAAGACCGGGACGAUCGCUGCUUCGGCAGAGACCGGGAUCGCUUCCGGGACUCGGAGCGGUUCGAGAGCGACUGGCGCGCGCGCCCGGCUGCUUCCGACGCCUUCGAUGACUACCCCCCCCGCCGCAGUGACGAUGGAUUCGGGGACAGAUAUCGUGAUCGCUACGAUGACCGGUAUCGGGACGGGCCACGGCGGGACAUGGAUCGUGGCUUUGGGAGCCGGGAUCGCUACGACGACCGCAGCAGGGAUUACGACCGAGGCUACGACUCCCGCGUAGGCAGCGGCCGGAGAGCCUUCGGGAGCGGCUACCGCCGGGACGACGACUACCGUGGCUAUGAUGAUCGUUAUGACCGGCGGGAUGACCGGAUGGAUCGGUGGAAUUCCCGGGAUGACUACGGCCGGGAUGAUUUCCGCCGCGAGGACAGAGGUCCCACCCAGAGACCGAAGCUCAACCUGAAGCCCCGGAGUGCUCCCAAGGAAGAGGAAACUUCUGGAGCUCCUGCUGCCCAAUCCAGCCGGGCUGCUUCCAUCUUUGGGGGGGCCAAGCCUGUGGAUACAGCGGCUCGGGAGCGGGAAGUGGAGGAGCGGCUCCAGAAGGAGCAGGAAAAGCUCCAGCGGCAGCUGGAGGAUGACAAGAGGAUCGACAGACGGCCCCGGGAAAGGCAUCCGAGCUGGCGCAGCGAGGAGAACCAGGAGCGGUCCCGGACGGGCAGCGAGUCCUCCCAGAGCGGCCCCGCGGGCCCCCCGGGCACGGCCGCGGGCUCCGGCCCCACCGGCCGCACCACACGGAGGAGGGAGAGCGAGAAAUCCCUGGAGAACGAGCCCCUAGGAAAAGAGGAGGAGCCGCCCUCGCCGCCCCCCAAAUCCCGGGAGGAGAAGCCGAAGGUGAUGCCGGCGCCGCCUCCCAAGGAAAACGCCUGGAUGAAACGGAGCAGCCAGAACCCCCCUGGCAAUUCCCAGAGCUCUGACUCGGAGCAGCCCUGCCUGACCAGUGGGGGCCCCCCCCGGCCCCUCCCCCCCUGGAGAUGAUGGGGGCCCCCCCAGGACCCCCCAGAGGAGAGCAGAGGACCUGAAGCCAGAGGGGGGGUCGGGAGAGCAGCUCCAAGGGCCGGAGCUGCAGCCGUGGCCCCGCAGGAAUGGGGGACUCUGAGAGGAGGGACCCCCGGAAGGAGCACGAGCCAAAGAAACUGGAGGAGAACCCCCCCUCUUUCAGCCACGCCAGCAAAUACGCCGCGCUCUCCAUGGAUGGGGAGGAUGAAGGUGAUGAUGAAGAAGGAGCUGAGUAAAAGCUUCCUCCCCCUCCUCCUCCUCCUCAGCCGCCACGGGAACCUCUGGAGAUUCCCAAAAAUCCCAACCUUGAUCCAGGCGAGACGGAAAUAAAGCCUAAAACUCA